rnacentral:rRNA from 1 species
AGAGUUUGAUCAUGGCUCAGGACGAACGCUGGCGGCGUGCUUAACACAUGCAAGUCGAACGGUGAACCGGGCUUCGGCCCGGGGAUCAGUGGCGAACGGGUGCGUAACACGUGGGCAACCUGCCCCAGACACUGGGAUAACUCCGGGAAACCGGGGCUAAUACCGGAUACUCCGGUCGGAUCGCAUGGUUCGAUCGGGAAAGCUCCGACGGUCUGGGAUGGGCCCGCGGCCUAUCAGCUUGUUGGUGGGGUAACGGCCUACCAAGGCGACGACGGGUAGCUGGUCUGAGAGGACGACCAGCCACACUGGAACUGAGAUACGGUCCAGACUCCUACGGGAGGCAGCAGUGGGGAAUCUUGCACAAUGGGCGCAAGCCUGAUGCAGCGACGCCGCGUGGGGGAUGAAGGCCCUCGGGUUGUAAACCCCUUUCGGCAGGGAAGAAGCGCAAGUGACGGUACCUGCAGAAGAAGCACCGGCUAACUACGUGCCAGCCGCCGCGGUAAUAC